rnacentral:rRNA from 1 species
GAUGAACGCUAGCGGCAGGCCUAAUACAUGCAAGUCGAGGGAGAAUGUUGGAUUCGUCUGACAUGAAACCGGCGCACGGGUGCGUAACACGUAUGCAACCUACCUUUAACUGGGGUAUAGCUCAGAGAAAUCUGAAUUAAUCCCCCAUAAGACUACGACAUGGCACCAUGAUGUAGUUAAAGCUCCGGCGGUUAAGGAUGGGCAUGCGGUACAUUAGCUAGUUGGUGAGGUAAUGGCUCACCAAGGCUACGAUGUAUAGGGGGUCUGAGAGGAUGAUCCCCCACACUGGUACUGAGGCACGGACCAGACUCCUACGGGAGGCAGCAGUAGGGAAUAUUGGUCAAUGGACGCAAGUCUGAACCAGCCAUGCCGCGUGAAGGAUGAAGGCCCUAUGGGUCGUAAACUUCUUUUAUUAGGGAAGAAAAAACGGGAUGCGUCCUGUACUGACGGUACUUAAUGAAUAAGGAUCGGCUAACUUCGUGCCAGCAGCCGCCGUAA